GCCGGCAUAGUAUAGUGGUUAGUACGUAUCGUUGUGGACUAUUCUUCAAUAGAAUGGAGCAAUUCCGAUACAGCCUCAGUUCGAUUCUGAGUGCCGGCA
rnacentral:tRNA from 1 species